CCCUACUUCGCGCUAUCGAAGCCGAAUCCCUGGCGUGUCUCCAAUUAAAGCGGGCACCAUCUCGGACCAGACCACUACCACGCCAGGAACCAGCUUACGUAGCCGAUCCAGAUCCCUCUUCAUCCUCCUCAACAGUUCCCGCUGCGGGAUCAAGCCUAAAUCGUUCCCCCCACCAUGAACCAGAAUUACGUUAGGGACUGACCC